rnacentral:rRNA from 1 species
AGCGAACGUUUGCGGCGGGCCUAACACAUGCAAGUCGAACGCACUAGCAAUAGUGAGUGGCGCACGGGUGCGUAACACGUGGGUAAUCAACCCUUCAGCCUGGGAUAACGACUCGAAAGGGUCGCUAAUACCGGAUACGGCGCGAGAGGCUUCGGCUUCUCACGAGAAAGCCACGCAAGGGGCACUGAAGGACGAGCCUGCGGCCCAUCAGCUAGUUGGUGAGGUAAGAGCUCACCAAGGCUAAGACGGGUAGCUGGUCUGAGAGGAUGAUCAGCCACACUGGAACUGAGACACGGUCCAGACUCCUACGGGAGGCAGCAGUGGGGAAUAUUGCGCAAUGGGCGAAAGCCUGACGCAGCCACGCCGCGUGAGCGAUGAAGGCCUCGGUCGUAAAGCUCUGUGGGAGAGACGAAGAAAGACCUGUGAAGAGCAGGCCUUGACGGUAGUCUCCUUAGUCAAGCACCGGCUAACUCCGU